GACGAACGCUGGCGGCGUGCUUAACACAUGCAAGUCGAACGGUGAAGGGACCGGUUUUUGCUGGUUCUGGAUGAGUGGCGCACGGGCGAGUAACACGUGAGUAACCUGCCCCCUUCUUCUGGAUAACCGCAUGAAAGUGUGGCUAAUACGGGAUAUUCUGCGCCUGCUGCAUGGUGGGUGUGGGAAAGAUAUUGUUUCGGUGGGGGAUGGGCUCGCGGCCUAUCAGCUUGUUGGUGGGGUGAUGGCCUACCAAGGCGGUGACGGGUAGCCGGCCUGAGAGGGUGGACGGUCACACUGGGACUGAGACACGGCCCAGACUCCUACGGGAGGCAGCAGUGGGGAAUAUUGCACAAUGGGCGCAAGCCUGAUGCAGCGACGCCGCGUGAGGGAUGGAGGCCUUCGGGUUGUAAACCUCUUUCGCCAGUGAAGCAGGCCUGUCCCUUUUGUGGGUGGGUUGACGGUAGCUGGAUAAGAAGCGCCGGCUAACUACGUG
rnacentral:rRNA from 1 species